ACAUUCAGACAUACUACCCUGAAUGUGCUUAAUCUCAUCUGAUCUCAGAUGCCUAGCUGGGUUGAGCCUGGUUAGUACUUAAAUGAGGCAGUCUUUGAUUUUA
rnacentral:rRNA from 1 species